rnacentral:lncRNA from 1 species
UGGUACAACCCAUUCAUGUUCACAUAUACCAUCCAUGUAAACAAUGUAUACCUGGUAAAAACCAUUCAUGUUCCCAUAUACCAUUCAUGUAAACAGUGUAUACCUGGUACAAACCAUACAUGUAAACAAUGUAUGCCUGGUACAAACCAUUCAUGUUCACAUAUACUUAAGAGGUACAGCCCUGCUGUUUUAUGUAGUGCCUAAUUGGUGCAAGUUUGUUAAAAAUAGUAUCAAACCUUUAUUCUCCUUGUUCUGUUUUUUUUUCGCUCCAAAAAGAGAAUAAACAAAACCUAAUUUGUCUUCUGGUUGUCAAGACGAAAAAAAGAAAUGAAAUGAAAUGGCACAAAUUAGUUACCUGGAUUGUAUGAGAGUAUUCUAGAUGCAAGGCGGUGGGACAUUGACAUACACUGUAUCAACUUAUAUAGAGUCACACAUACACCUGGACCGUGGGGAUCUGUGCCACACCCUCAUGUACGCACACACCGUGAUUUUGUUUUCAUAUUCAUAUGUUAUUAUGUAAUCGCUGUAGUCUGGACUAUAUUAGUUAGGAGAGUCACUUUUUGAGACAUCCAAAUAAAUAACUUUUAAAAUGUUGAUGCUGAAGUUUGUGGAACUAUAGUAAGACUUCUCCUGAAUCUUUCUUUGCUACAAGUCCUAUAUUUAUUUUCACUGUAUAUAUAAAUGACUCCCUCAAAUACGUGUUUUGUUUUAAAAAAAAAUAAGAAAAACCAAUACAAAAUGCUUCGUUCUGAUUCAAUUUAGAAAGACCCCUUGUAAAUAUAUUGAACAUUGUAUUUUGUAAACGCUAAAUGUGACAUGUCCAGGGCAUCUUAAUUACUUUGGGAAUGGGGCCUAAGGCUCUUAAAUUAGGUAACAAGGGAAAUUGGGGAAAGCGGCAAUAAUAAGGAAAAUCCUGAUAGAACAUCUAUCUAAAGAAUUGUUUCUCCGUUGACAAGAAUUUCAGCAAACAACAGGCAACAAAAAUAUACACAUGACGACACUGUCUUGAUUAAUAAACACAAUUAUUUAUCGACCCGCAUCUAAUUGGGAAGUUUAGAGUUUGGAUUGGGAACAUGUACAGGUUUUGCCUUAGGAGUGGGGCUGGUAUUUGGCCCCAGAAAGGGCAUGUUUGUACAUGUGACAAUCUUACAAUUUCACAUAUAAAAGACUGUCAGUGUUUUUAUCUUCACACUGAACAGACACAUACAUUAAAUUCUGCCCUUGAUUUUUUUCACCACAAUUUUCCUUUUUUAACAAACACUAUAUUCAAUGCUAUUUUUAAAUACUACACAUUGCAGUAGCGUUCAAACAGAUCUAAAUACCAUGCAUCUAUAACAAUAUCAAGCAGAGGUGUGUCCAUGGCAACCAUCUUAUUAUCUUCAGACUUUCCACUAUAUCCAAAAUUAAGUUGAAAGAUUUUACAUCAUGGGUGAAUGAACACAUUUGAAAUGUCAAGGUUAUCAAAAGUUGUUUGGGUACAAGACAUGUCCCCAAUUUUUAUAAUUACAAUUCUAAAUAUCUGCGAUAAAGGGGACCAUGAAAUACUAGGGCAGUAAGCCAGAGGUAGUAAAUGAAACAAGGGGCGUUUGAAUGGAGUUUACAGAACCAAAUCAAGCCUACAUUGUACAGAACCAAGGUCAUCAAGUAUACAUAAGUAUACUUAUAUAUAUAAAUGUAUAGUGUACUAGAUCCAGCCUCAAACAAUUUAUAUUGGAAUCAAUGUUUUAUCAUAACCAUUAUAUCUGCAAACAAAAUAUUCUGAGAUUCAAAAUUACUUCCUCAAUAUUAUUAAUUAACACAAAAUAUUUCUUGAAUUUAAACUUUUCAAUAAAUUUCCAAAAAUUUGAAUAUUUAUUAAUUACAUGUAGUUAAUUAAUAGGAUAGAAGUUAGGGACAGACAAGCAUUUUUUCUGGACCAAUCUGGGACAAUUUAAAAAAGCAACUUGCCACCUGUAUAACAUUGUUACUCUUGUCUUUUGAAAAUUCUAUGACCAUAAUUUACAACAAUUUGUUUUUCAUAUUCUUGAAUUUUCAAAAAAUCUCGGGGAUUCUGAUACUACAGUAGUUAAAUUUGUUUACCAAUGAUAAAACGGAAAUUAACCACUUUUCUUCUCUGACAAGAAACCCAUGGACACACUUCAACAUAUGCAAAAAAAAAUCAGUAUAAACAAUGAACCUAUUAAUAUCAAAGCCUCUUGCUUCAAACAAGUUUUAUUUGAUAAAAAUAUGUACAACCAACAAAAAUUAUAACAAUUGUCAUUAAAGUCAAAUACAGUACAUUAAGUAUGUACUAUUUCUAUUCUUACUGUUCACUGUUUAACAAACUGUUCACAGUAAUGGGAGAGAUUAACGAACAUCUGUAUAUAAUGCCAUAUAGUAACAGCUCAACUAGAACAUUUCUUACUUACAUUGUCUGUAGUUUUGAUUUUUCACAAUGUUGAUGUUAAAAAAUACAUAUCUGUAAUAAAUCAAUGUAAUGAAACCAAAUUUGACAUUAAUUGAAACGAAGGAUAUGAACUUACAUUACACAUGAUUUUCAACCGGUGUGUCAUUGACAAAUCAAUCUCAAAUAACAGAGGUUCCUUAAUUCUGAAAUAUUGUUAAAACUCUGGUAACAAUGUUUCCUAUCUUAUAUUUCACAAAGAGUUCUGAAGAACUUGAUAUACUGUAUGUGUACAAACAGUAUGUCUAUCGUACAGGGCAAUGGUAUGAUUUGUAGGUUUGAAAAGAGUGUCACAAAAUUGAUUGACCUGAUAUUUAACUAUUGAAAGUGUUUGACCGGAUAAACAAUUGGGAACAGGUAUAUUUUUCAUGCAAAAUAUUAGCAAUACUUCACAGUGCAUGUGUUAAAACAUUUUAACAAUGCUUCACAACUCAUGUUCUAUAAAUCUUUUGAAUAUACGGGUCAAGUAUAGUUACAUUCCUUAGUUCAUUAAUUUGUGAAUGUUUUCAUAAAGGAUAUAAGCUUCUAUCAAAGAAAUGCUAAAAUCUAUUAUAUAUCUCCCACAAGUCAUCAGAAACCAAAUAUAUUCAGACAACUACAAUAUUUUAAAACAAUGUUUAAAUAUCAAUAUGCUGAAAAUCUUGUAAGUAUCACAGCUAGCAGUUAAUUUCACUGUCUAAAACCA